UACGUAGGGUGCGAGCGUUGUCCGGAAUUAUUGGGCGUAAAGAGCUCGUAGGCGGUUUGUCGCGUCUGCUGUGAAAACUGGAGGCUCAACCUCCAGCCUGCAGUGGGUACGGGCAGACUAGAGUGCGGUAGGGGAGAUUGGAAUUCCUGGUGUAGCGGUGGAAUGCGCAGAUAUCAGGAGGAACACCGGUGGCGAAGGCGGGUCUCUGGGCCGAUAUUGACGCUGAGGAGCGAAAGCGUGGGGAGCAAACAGG
rnacentral:rRNA from 1 species